rnacentral:rRNA from 1 species
GACGAACGCUGGCGGCGUGGAUUAGGCAUGCAAGUCGAACGGUAUCAUCCUUUCGGGGGUGAGAGAGUGGCGAACUGGUGAGUAACACGUAGGUUAUCUACCCUCAAGACGGGGACAACCCAGGGAAACUUGGGCUAAUACCGGAUGUGAGCAACUUUUAGUUGUUUGAAAGGUGGCGUAAGCUGUCGCUUGGGGAUGAGCCUGCGUCCUAUUAGUUAGUUGGUGAGGUAACGGCUCACCUAGGCAAUGAUAGGUAGGCGGCCUUAACGGGUGGUCGCCCACACUGGGAUUGAGAUACGGCCCAGACUCCUACGGGAGGCAGCAGUCGAGAAUAGUCUACAAUGGUCGGAAGACUGAUAGUGCGACGCCGCGUGAACGAUGAAUCCCUUCGGGGUGUAAAGUUCUUUUAUAUGUGAGCAGUGCUUCUUAUAUUAAACGUAAUGGGGAGAGAGAUAUUAGCAUAUGAAUAAGCAAACGGCUAACGUCCGUGCCCAGCAGCCGCGGUAAACUCG